rnacentral:rRNA from 1 species
GACGAACGCUGGCGGCGUGCCUAAUACAUGCAAGUCGAGCGGAGCGGCGGACGGGUGAGUAAUGCCUAGGAAUCUGCCUGGUAGUGGGGGUUAACGUCAGGAAACGGGCACUAAUACCACAUCCCUCCAGAUGAGCCUAGGUCGGAUUAACUAGUUGGUGGUGUAAAGGCCUACAAAGGCGACGAUCCGAAACUGGUCUGCAAGGAGGAUCAGUAACACUGGAACUGAGACACGGUCCAGACUACUACGGGAGGCAGCAGUGGGGAAUAUUGGACGAUGGGCGAAAGCCUGAGCCAGCCAUGCCGAGUGUGUGAAAAAGGUCUUCGGAUUGUAAGGCACUUUAAGUUGGGAGGCGUUACCAACAGAAUAAGCACCGGCUAACUUCGUGCCAGCAGCCGCGGUAAUAC